UACAGAGGGGGCAAGCGUUGUUCGGAAUUACUGGGCGUAAAGGGCGCGUAGGCGGCGUGCUAAGUCGAACGUGAAAUCCCCGGGCUCAACCCGGGAACUGCGUCCGAGACUGGCAGGCUUGAAUCCGGGAGAGGGAUGUGGAAUUCCAGGUGUAGCGGUGAAAUGCGUAGAUAUCUGGAGGAACAUUGGUGGCGAAGGCGGCAUCCUGGACCGGUAUUGACGCUGAGGCGCGAAGGUCAGGGGAGCAAACGGG
rnacentral:rRNA from 1 species